rnacentral:rRNA from 1 species
UGUCUAGUUAGCAGUCUAUACUGUGAAACUGCGAACGGCUCAUUAUAUCGGUUAAAAUCCAUUCGAUGGUACCUUACUACAUGGAUAACUGUGGUAAUUCUAGAGCUAAUACAUGCUGAAAAGGCCCUUUACGGGGUCGUAUUUAUUAGAUUAAAGACCGAGGCUUCGGCCUUUUGGUGAAUCAUGAUAACUGCUCGAAGCGUAUGGCCUUGCGCCGACGCUACUUCGUUCGAUUUUCCGCCCUAUCAGCUUGUCGGUUGUGUAGUGGACAACGGAGGCUACUACGGGUAACGGGGAAUUAGGGUUCGAUUCCGGAGAGAGGGCCUGAGAAACGGCCCUCAUAACUAAGGUUAGCAGCAGGCGCGCAAAUUAUCCACUCUCAAUUCGAGGAGAUAGUGACAAUAAAUAACAAUAGAGGGCUCUUUUGGGUCUUCUAAUUGGAAUGAGUACAAUCUAAAUCCCUUAACGAGGAUCAAUUGGAGGGCAAGUCUGGUGCCAGCAGCCGCGGUAAUUCCAGCUCCAAUAGCGUAUAUUAAAAUUGUUGACGUUAAAAAGCUCGUAGUCGACUUUCGGCCUCAGUUGACCGGUCCGCUCAAUGAGUGUGUACUGGACUCGAUUGGGGCUUUACCUCCUGGUGAACUUGCAUGGACUUUAUUGGCUGUGUAAGGGAACCCGGAACUUUACUUUGAAUAAAUCAGAGUGCUCAAAGCAGGCAUGUUUGCCCGAAUGUUACAGCAUGGAAUAAUAGAAUAGGAUGUGUGCCUCUAUUGGUCUUUUAGAGGCACCUUAAUGAGAAAUAGGGGCGGCUCGGGGGGCAUUUGUAUUCAAUUGCUAGAGGUGAAAUUCUUGGAUUUAUUGAAGACAAACUACUGCGAAAGCAUUUGCCAAGGACGCUUUCAUUGAUCAAGAACGAAGGUCGGGGGAUCGAAAACGAUUAGAUAGCCGUUGUAGUCUCGACAGUAAACUAUGCCAACCGGCGAUGGGUGGGGGUUUUUCUAAUGACCCCAUCUGCAGCCACAGAGAAAUCUUGAGUGCGGUUCGUGGGGGAGUACGGUCACAAGACUGAAACUUAAAGGAAUUGUCGGAAGGGCACCACCAGGAGUGGAGCCUGCGGCUUAAUUUGACUCAACACGGGGAAACUCACCAGGUCCAGACACAAAUAGGAUUGACAGAUUGAUAGCUCUUUCUUGAUCUUGUGGUUGGUGGUGCAUGGCCGUUCUUAGUUGGUGGAGUGAUUUGUCUGGUUAAUUCCGAUAACGAACGAGACCUUAACCUGCUAAAUAGCCCGGCCGACUUUGGUUGGUCGCUGGCUUCUUAGAGGGACUAUCGACGUUUAGUCGAUGGAAGUUUGAGGCAAUAACAGGUCUGUGAUGCCCUUAGAUGUUCUGGUCCGCACGCGCGCUACCCUGACAGAGCCAGCGAGUUCUUUCCUUGGCUGAAAAGCCUGGGUAAUCUUGUGACACUCUGUCGUGAUGGGGAUAGAGCAUUGCAAUUAUUGCUCUUCAACGAGGAAUUCCUAGUAAGCGUGAGUCAUCAGCUCGCGUUGAUUCCGCCCCUGCCCUUUG